GUCACGAUGCCAGAGUGGUUAAUGGGUGAGACUUGAAUAUUCGUUCAAGUUAUCUCAUGGCUUCGGCCGCGUAGGUUCGAACCCUACUCGUGACG
rnacentral:tRNA from 1 species